rnacentral:ncRNA from 1 species
UCUAUCCUUGUCUUUGGGGAGCAAAGUAUUCAAUGAUCGUUUAGUGAGGAUACUGUUGCUAAAGCCCAUUAUAAUGUUAAACUCGCAUCCACGUACAUUUUGUCGUGAGAUGCAAUUUUUGUAAGC